rnacentral:rRNA from 1 species
GACGAACGCUGGCGGCGUGCCUAAUACAUGCAAGUAGAACGCUGAAGAGAGGAGCUUCGCUCUUCUUGGAUGAGUUUGCGAACGGGUGAGUAACGCGUAGGUAACCUGCCUUGUAGCGGGGGAUAACUAUUGGAAACGAUAGCUAAUACCGCAUAACAAUGGAUGACACAUGUCAUUUAUUUGAAAGGGGCAAUUCGCUCCACUACAAGAUGGACCUGCGUUGUAUUAGCUAGUAGGUGAGGUAACGGCUCACCUAGGCGACGAUACAUAGCCGACCUGAGAGGGUGAUUCGGCCACACUGGGACUGAGACACGGCCCAGACUCCUACGGGAGGCAGCAGUAGGGAAUCUUCGGCAAUGGGGGCAACCCUGACCGAGCAACGCCGCGUGAGUGAAGAAGGUUUUCGGAUCGUAAAGCUCUGUUGUAAGUCAAGAACGAGUGUGAGAGUGGAAAGUUCACACUGUGACGGUAGCUUACCAGAAAGGGACGGCUAACUACGUGCCCAGCAGCCGCGGUAAUACGUAGGUCCCGAGCGUUGUCCGGAUUUAUUGGGCGUAAAGCGAGCGCAGGCGGUUUGAUAAGUCUGAAGUUAAAGGCUGUGGCUCAACCAUAGUUCGCUUUGGAAACUGUCAAACUUGAGUGCAGAAGGGGAGAGUGGAAUUCCAUGUGUAGCGGUGAAAUGCGUAGAUAUAUGGAGGAACACCGGUGGCGAAAGCGGCUCUCUGGUCUGUAACUGACGCUGAGGCUCGAAAGCGUGGGGAGCGAACAGGAUUAGAUACCCUGGUAGUCCACGCCGUAAACGAUGAGUGCUAGGUGUUGGAUCCUUUCCGGGAUUCAGUGCCGCAGCUAACGCAUUAAGCACUCCGCCUGGGGAGUACGACCGCAAGGUUGAAACUCAAAGGAAUUGACGGGGGCCCGCACAAGCGGUGGAGCAUGUGGUUUAAUUCGAAGCAACGCGAAGAACCUUACCAGGUCUUGACAUCCCGAUGCUAUUUCUAGAGAUAGAAAGUUACUUCGGUACAUCGGUGACAGGUGGUGCAUGGUUGUCGUCAGCUCGUGUCGUGAGAUGUUGGGUUAAGUCCCGCAACGAGCGCAACCCCUAUUGUUAGUUGCCAUCAUUCAGUUGGGCACUCUAGCGAGACUGCCGGUAAUAAACCGGAGGAAGGUGGGGAUGACGUCAAAUCAUCAUGCCCCUUAUGACCUGGGCUACACACGUGCUACAAUGGUUGGUACAACGAGUUGCGAGUCGGUGACGGCAAGCUAAUCUCUUAAAGCCAAUCUCAGUUCGGAUUGUAGGCUGCAACUCGCCUACAUGAAGUCGGAAUCGCUAGUAAUCGCGGAUCAGCACGCCGCGGUGAAUACGUUCCCGGGCCU